rnacentral:rRNA from 1 species
GAUCCUGGCUCAGGAUGAACGCUAGCGGCAGGCCUAACACAUGCAAGUCGAGGGGCAGCACGGUGUAGCAAUACACUGGUGGCGACCGGCGCACGGGUGCAUAACGCGUAUGCAACCUACCCAUAACAGGGGGAUAACACUGAGAAAUUGGUACUAAUACCCCAUAACAUCAGGACCGGCAUCGGUUCUGGUUGAAAACUCCGGUGGUUAUGGAUGGGCAUGCGUUGUAUUAGCUGGUUGGUGG